rnacentral:rRNA from 1 species
AUACGGAGGGUGCAAGCGUUAUUCGGAAUCACUGGGCGUAAAGGACGCGUAGGCGGGUUGGCAAGUCAGAUGUUAAAUCCUACAGCUUAACUGUAGAACUGCAUUUGAAACUGCUAACCUAGAGUAUGGGAGGGGGAGAUGGAAUUAGUGGUGUAGGGGUAAAAUCCAUAGAUAUCACUAGGAAUACCGAAAGCGAAGGCGAUCUCCUGGAACAUAACUGACGCUAAGGCGUGAAAGCGUGGGGAGCAAACAGGAUUAGAAACCCUAGUAGUCC